rnacentral:rRNA from 1 species
GAUGAACGCUGGCGGCGUGCCUAAUACAUGCAAGUCGAGCGAACAGACGAGGAGCUUGCUCCUCUGACGUUAGCGGCGGACGGGUGAGUAACACGUGGAUAACCUACCUAUAAGACUGGGAUAACUUCGGGAAACCGGAGCUAAUACCGGAUAAUAUAUUGAACCGCAUGGUUCAAUAGUGAAAGACGGUUUUGCUGUCACUUAUAGAUGGAUCCGCGCCGCAUUAGCUAGUUGGUAAGGUAACGGCUUACCAAGGCGACGAUGCGUAGCCGACCUGAGAGGGUGAUCGGCCACACUGGAACUGAGAGACGGUCCAGACUCCUACGGGAGGCAGCAGUAGGGAAUCUUCCGCAAUGGGCGAAAGCCUGACGGAGCAACGCCGCGUGAGUGAUGAAGGUCUUCGGAUCGUAAAACUCUGUUAUUAGGGAAGAACAAAUGUGUAAGUAACUAUGCACGUCUUGACGGUACCUAAUCAGAAAGCCACGGCUAACUACGUG